rnacentral:lncRNA from 1 species
GAGCCCCUGGUUGACCAUUGGUGGUCUGUUGGAGGUCCAGCCCUGGAGUUGGUCAUCACUGGUGGGGUCAGACCAGUCCUGGACUGGUCCAUCCCAGUUGAACUGGGUGGGAACUGGUGGGGUCGAUCUUGAAGACUUCGAUUGAUCAUUGGUUGGGUUGAUUUUCUUGGAGGCCUCAGUUGACCAUUGGUGGUCCAGACCUUGAGUUGAUCAUCGCUGGUGGGGUUGGAUCAGUCCUGGACUGGUCCAUCCCAGUUGAACUGGGUGGGAACUGGUGGGGUCGAUCUUGAAGACUUCGAUUGAUCAUUGGUUGGGUUGAUUUUCUUGGAGGCCUCAGUUGACCAUUGGUGGUCUGUUGGAGGUCCAGCCCUGGAGUUGGUCAUCACUGGUGGGGUCAGAGCAGUCCUGGACUGGUCCAUCCCAGUUGAACUGGGUGGGAACUGGUGGGGUUGGUCAAGGCCAUGGUUGACCAUUGGUUGGGUUGAUCUUGAAGACCUCGAUUGACCAUGGGUUGGGUUGAUCUUGGAGCCCCUGGUUGACCAUUGGUGGUUCAGAGCUUGAGUUGGUCAUCACUGAUGGGGUCGGACCAGUCCUGGACUGGUCCAUCCCAGUUGUACUGGGUGGGAACUGGUGGGGUUGGUCAAGACUUGGAUUGAUCAUUGGUUGGGUUGAUUUUCUUGGAGGCCUCAGUUGACCAUUGGUGGUUCAGA